rnacentral:rRNA from 1 species
GAGUUUGAUCCUGGCUCAGGAUAAACGCCUGGCGGCGCACAUAAGACAUGCAAGUCGAACGGAAGUCGUUGUAAUGAUAUAGACAUGGACGGAGAACUUGUUCAAAGAAAGUGGAAGUUGACUUACAACAAUGGCUUUAGUGGCGGACUGGUGAGUAACACGUAAGCAACCUGCCUAUCAGAGGGGAACAACAGUUAGAAAUGACUGCUAAUACCGCAUAUGCCUAAGUAUCACAUGGUACAAUAGGGAAAGGAGCAAUCUGCUGAUAGAUGGCUUGCGUCUGAUUAGAUAGUUGGUGGGGUAACGGCCUACCAAGUCAACGAUCAGUAGCCGGACUGACAGGUUGAACGGCCACAUUGGGACUGAGAUACGGCCCAGACUCCUACGGGAGGCAGCAGUCGGGAAUAUUGCGCAAUGGAGGAAACUCUGACGCAGUGACGCCGCGUGCAGGAAGAAGGUUUUCGGAUUGUAAACUGCUUUAGACAGGGAACAACAAAGACAGUACCUGUAGAAUAAGCUCCGGCUAACUACGUGCCAGCAGCCGCGGUAAUACGUAGGGAGCAAGCGUUAUCCGGAUUUAUUGGGUGUUAAGGGUGCGUAGACGGGAAAUUACGUUAGUUGUGAAAUCCCUCGGCUUAACUGAGGAACUGCCACUAAAACUGGUUUUCUUGAGUGCUGGAGAGGAAAGUGGAAUUCCUAGUGUAGCGGUGAAAUGCGUAGAUAUUAGGAGGAACACCAGUGGCGAAGGCGACUUUCUGGACAGUAACUGACGUUGAGGCACGAAAGUGUGGGGAGCACACAGGAUUAGAUACNCUGGUAGUCCACACCGUAAACGAUGGAUACUAGGUGUAGGGUGUGAUAAACAUUCUGUGCCGUCGCAAACGCAAUAAGUAUCCCACCUGGGGAGUACGGCCGCAAGGUUGAAACUCAAAGGAAUUGACGGGGGCCCGCACAAGCAGUGGAGUAUGUGGUUUAAUUCGACGCAACGCGAAGAACCUUACCAGGGCUUGACAUAUACAGGAAUAUAUAAGAGAUUAUAUAGCUCUUCGGAGUCUGUAUACAGGUGGUGCAUGGUUGUCGUCAGCUCGUGUCGUGAGAUGUUGGGUUAAGUCCCGCAACGAGCGCAACCCCUGUUCUUAGUUGCCAGCACAUAAUGGUGGGAACUCUAAGAAGACUGCCGGUGAUAAAUCGGAGGAAGGUGGGGACGACGUCAAAUCAUCAUGCCCUUUAUGUCCUGGGCUACACACGUACUACAAUGGCUAUCACAGAGGGAAGCUAAGCCGCGAGGUGGAGCAAAACCCAAAAAAGUAGUCUCAGUUCGGAUUGAAGGCUGAAAUUCGCCUUCAUGAAGCCGGAAUUGCUAGUAAUGGCAGGUCAGCAUACUGCCGUGAAUACGUUCCCGGGCCCCUUGUACACACCGCCCGUC